UGGGUUGUGGCUCAGCGGCAGAGCAUUUGCCUAGCACGCUUGAGGCGCUGGGUUUGAUUCUCAGCACCACAU
rnacentral:tRNA from 1 species